AACGCGAAGAACCUUACCCAGGUUUGACAUGUACUUGACAGCGGCAGAAAUGUCGUCUUCCGAAAGGACAGGUACACAGGUGCUGCAUGGCUGUCGUCAGCUCGUGCCGUGAGGUGUUGGGUUAAGUCCCGCAACGAGCGCAACCCUUAUCACUAGUUGCCAGCACUUAGGGUGGGAACUCUAGUGAGACUGCCUGGGUUAACCAGGAGGAAGGUGAGGAUGACGUCAAGUCAGCAUGGCCCUUAUGUCUGGGGCGACACACGUGCUACAAUGGCCGGUACAGAAGGCAGCAAGACCGCAAGGUGGAGCAAAUCCCAAAAGCCGGCCCCAGUUCGGAUUGUAGUCUGCAACUCGACUACAUGAAGUUGGAAUUGCUAGUAAUGGCGCGUCAGCCAUAGCGCCGUGAAUACGUUCCCGGGCCUUGUACACACCGAUAGC
rnacentral:rRNA from 1 species